rnacentral:rRNA from 1 species
AGAGUUUGAUCCUGGCUCAGAUUGAACGCUGGCGGAAUGCUUUACACAUGCAAGUCGAACGGCAGCACGGGGGGCUUGCUCCUGGUGGCGAGUGGCGAACGGGUGAGUAAUACAUCGGAACGUACCCUGAAGUGGGGGAUAACGUAGCGAAAGUUACGCUAAUACCGCAUAUUCUGUGAGCAGGAAAGAGGGGGGAUCGCAAGACCUCUUGCUUUAGGAGCGGCCGAUGUCGGAUUAGCUAGUUGGUGGGGUAAAGGCCCACCAAGGCGACGAUCCGUAGCGGGUCUGAGAGGAUGAUCCGCCACACUGGAACUGAGACACGGUCCAGACUCCUACGGGAGGCAGCAGUGGGGAAUUUUGGACAAUGGGCGCAAGCCUGAUCCAGCCAUGCCGCGUGAGUGAAGAAGGCCUUCGGGUUGUAAAGCUCUUUCGGUGGGGAAGAAAUUGCUUGGGUUAAUACCCUGAGUAGAUGACGGUACCCGCAUAAGAAGCACCGGCUAACUACGUG